GGGUUGUGAGGUUAAGCGACUAAGCGUACACGGUGGAUGCCCUGGCAGUCAGAGGCGAUGAAGGACGUGCUAAUCUGCGAUAAGCGUCGGUAAGGUGAUAUGAACCGUUAUAACCGGCGAUUUCCGAAUGGGGAAACCCAGUGUGAUUCGUCACACUAUCAUUAACUGAAUCCAUAGGUUAAUGAGGCGAACCGGGGGAACUGAAACAUCUAAGUACCCCGAGGAAAAGAAAUCAACCGAGAUUCCCCCAGUAGCGGCGAGCGAACGGGGAGCAGCCCAGAGCCUGAAUCAGUGUGUGUGUUAGUGGAAGCGUCUGGAAAGGCGCGCGAUACAGGGUGACAGCCCCGUACACAAAAAUGCACAUGCUGUGAGCUCGAUGAGUAGGGCGGGACACGUGGUAUCCUGUCUGAAUAUGGGGGGACCAUCCUCCAAGGCUAAAUACUCCUGACUGACCGAUAGUGAACCAGUACCGUGAGGGAAAGGCGAAAAGAACCCCGGCGAGGGGAGUGAAAAAGAACCUGAAACCGUGUACGUACAAGCAGUGGGAGCACGCUUAGGCGUGUGACUGCGUACCUUUUGUAUAAUGGGUCAGCGACUUAUAUUCUGUAGCAAGGUUAACCGAAUAGGGGAGCCGAAGGGAAACCGAGUCUUAACUGGGCGUUAAGUUGCAGGGUAUAGACCCGAAACCCGGUGAUCUAGCCAUGGGCAGGUUGAAGGUUGGGUAACACUAACUGGAGGACCGAACCGACUAAUGUUGAAAAAUUAGCGGAUGACUUGUGGCUGGGGGUGAAAGGCCAAUCAAACCGGGAGAUAGCUGGUUCUCCCCGAAAGCUAUUUAGGUAGCGCCUCGUGAAUUCAUCUCCGGGGGUAGAGCACUGUUUCGGCAAGGGGGUCAUCCCGACUUACCAACCCGAUGCAAACUGCGAAUACCGGAGAAUGUUAUCACGGGAGACACACGGCGGGUGCUAACGUCCGUCGUGAAGAGGGAAACAACCCAGACCGCCAGCUAAGGUCCCAAAGUCAUGGUUAAGUGGGAAACGAUGUGGGAAGGCCCAGACAGCCAGGAUGUUGGCUUAGAAGCAGCCAUCAUUUAAAGAAAGCGUAAUAGCUCACUGGUCGAGUCGGCCUGCGCGGAAGAUGUAACGGGGCUAAACCAUGCACCGAAGCUGCGGCAGCGACGCUUAUGCGUUGUUGGGUAGGGGAGCGUUCUGUAAGCCUGUGAAGGUGUGCUGUGAGGCAUGCUGGAGGUAUCAGAAGUGCGAAUGCUGACAUAAGUAACGAUAAAGCGGGUGAAAAGCCCGCUCGCCGGAAGACCAAGGGUUCCUGUCCAACGUUAAUCGGGGCAGGGUGAGUCGACCCCUAAGGCGAGGCCGAAAGGCGUAGUCGAUGGGAAACAGGUUAAUAUUCCUGUACUUGGUGUUACUGCGAAGGGGGGACGGAGAAGGCUAUGUUGGCCGGGCGACGGUUGUCCCGGUUUAAGCGUGUAGGCUGGUUUUCCAGGCAAAUCCGGAAAAUCAAGGCUGAGGCGUGAUGACGAGGCACUACGGUGCUGAAGCAACAAAUGCCCUGCUUCCAGGAAAAGCCUCUAAGCAUCAGGUAACAUCAAAUCGUACCCCAAACCGACACAGGUGGUCAGGUAGAGAAUACCAAGGCGCUUGAGAGAACUCGGGUGAAGGAACUAGGCAAAAUGGUGCCGUAACUUCGGGAGAAGGCACGCUGAUAUGUAGGUGAAGUCCCUCGCGGAUGGAGCUGAAAUCAGUCGAAGAUACCAGCUGGCUGCAACUGUUUAUUAAAAACACAGCACUGUGCAAACACGAAAGUGGACGUAUACGGUGUGACGCCUGCCCGGUGCCGGAAGGUUAAUUGAUGGGGUCAGCGCAAGCGAAGCUCUUGAUCGAAGCCCCGGUAAACGGCGGCCGUAACUAUAACGGUCCUAAGGUAGCGAAAUUCCUUGUCGGGUAAGUUCCGACCUGCACGAAUGGCGUAAUGAUGGCCAGGCUGUCUCCACCCGAGACUCAGUGAAAUUGAACUCGCUGUGAAGAUGCAGUGUACCCGCGGCAAGACGGAAAGACCCCGUGAACCUUUACUAUAGCUUGACACUGAACAUUGAGCCUUGAUGUGUAGGAUAGGUGGGAGGCUUGGAAGUGUGGACGCCAGUCUGCAUGGAGCCGACCUUGAAAUACCACCCUUUAAUGUUUGAUGUUCUAACGUUGACCCGUGAUCCGGGUUGCGGACAGUGUCUGGUGGGUAGUUUGACUGGGGCGGUCUCCUCCUAAAGAGUAACGGAGGAGCACGAAGGUUGGCUAAUCCUGGUCGGACAUCAGGAGGUUAGUGCAAUGGCAUAAGCCAGCUUGACUGCGAGCGUGACGGCGCGAGCAGGUGCGAAAGCAGGUCAUAGUGAUCCGGUGGUUCUGAAUGGAAGGGCCAUCGCUCAACGGAUAAAAGGUACUCCGGGGAUAACAGGCUGAUACCGCCCAAGAGUUCAUAUCGACGGCGGUGUUUGGCACCUCGAUGUCGGCUCAUCACAUCCUGGGGCUGAAGUAGGUCCCAAGGGUAUGGCUGUUCGCCAUUUAAAGUGGUACGCGAGCUGGGUUUAGAACGUCGUGAGACAGUUCGGUCCCUAUCUGCCGUGGGCGCUGGAGAACUGAGGGGGGCUGCUCCUAGUACGAGAGGACCGGAGUGGACGCAUCACUGGUGUUCGGGUUGUCAUGCCAAUGGCACUGCCCGGUAGCUAAAUGCGGAAGAGAUAAGUGCUGAAAGCAUCUAAGCACGAAACUUGCCCCGAGAUGAGUUCUCCCUGACUCCUUGAGAGUCCUGAAGGAACGUUGAAGACGACGACGUUGAUAGGCCGGGUGUGUAAGCGCAGCGAUGCGUUGAGCUAACCGGUACUAAUGAACCGUGAGGCUUAACCUUACAACGCCGAAGGUGUUU
rnacentral:rRNA from 1 species